AUUGAACGCUGGCGGCAUGCCUUACACAUGCAAGUCGAACGGUAGCGGGCCUUCGGGUGCCGACGAGUGGCGAACGGGUGAGUAAUGUAUCGGAACGUACCAUUGAGUGGGGGAUAACGUAGCGAAAGUUACGCUAAUACCGCAUAUUCUCUCCGGAGGAAAGCAGGGGACCGCAAGGCCUUGCGCUCUUUGAGCGGCCGAUAUCAGAUUAGCUAGUUGGUGAGGUAAAGGCUCACCAAGGCGACGAUCUGUAGCGGGUCUGAGAGGAUGAUCCGCCACACUGGAACUGAGACACGGUCCAGACUCCUACGGGAGGCAGUAGUGGGGAAUUUUGGACAAUGGGGGCAACCCUGAUCCAGCCAUGCCGCGUGAGUG
rnacentral:rRNA from 1 species